rnacentral:lncRNA from 1 species
AUGUCCAUUGAAGGCCUGGUGUUAAUUUUGUGUGAAAUACGCCACAAAAUAUUGAUUCCUUUCACCAGUUCAUCUGCCAGGCUGUUAGCAGGAAAAACUGCUUCCCUCCAGAAAUGGUUUGAAAGCAAAAUGAGAAUGAAGCACUUUACAGAAAAAACAAUGUGACAGUUGAAGUUCCAGGAAAAAUUUCUUGUUUAAAUCAAACAAAAUAAAAAAAGGUUUAAAUCAAACA